rnacentral:lncRNA from 1 species
CCUGAAGGAAAAUAUGGCCCUGGACACCGUCCAGAACCGAGCAGCCCGGGCUUUGGCAAACUUGGCCAUGGAUCCAGUGAGCUCUGCACUCAUCCACUCGGCUGGUGGUGUUCCUCUUCUUCUCCUGUGUGUUUCUCUUUCUUCCGGCCCGUCCUCCCCCACUGCUGCCCCACCCAAAGAGCCCUGUCCUAAACUAGAGUGUGCUCAGUCGGCCGCUCGGGCUCUGCUCUACCUCUCAGAUACGCACUCUAACCGCCUGUUGCUGCUCACCCAGGGGGCCUUAACGGCUCUUGCCCCCCUCAUCGUUCCAGAAUACCCGCUAGGGCUGAGGCGGGCGGCGCUCAGGACCAUCCACGAGCUGACACUCGGCUGUGGGGUUGAAUGUGCCAGGGAGGUGUCCCGUUCUGGAGUCCUCGCUCAGCUCGGUGUAAUGGCGUCGGGGCAGUGCGGUGAAACCUUUUGAGGAGCUGGCACUGAAAACGCUGGCCAACAUGUGCUCCCAGGGCUGCCUUCGCCCUUUCGUGGGGUCACUGGGGGUCAUUCAGAACUUCACUGAGGAGGUCAAAAGGAUCCCCUGAAGUCUGAAGUCUUCCUCAAUGGCACUGUGCUUGUGCUGCAAGGAGGCGGUCAACCGCGCCAAGGUGAAGGAGAGCAGUGGAUUAGAGGUGCUGAUUGGCUUUCUGGCUGCCCAUCAGAGUCAUCCCCUUUCCCAACUCGCCAUCCUGGCCUGUGUAGACUUUGUGUUUGAUGAAUCUGCCAUGGACCAGCUGCAAGAGCUAGGCCUGGUCCCUCUGCUUGUUGCACGACUUGUUGAGCUCACCAGAGGCGAGGAACAAUCUGCUGAGAAGAUGGAUAUGAGCAUGUCUCCCACCGAGCUCCUGUCCUCAUCAUGUUUCGACUCAUUUGACUUUCCCUCUGAGGGCUGCAAGAAGGAGGAAGCAGGAAAGGAGCAAGGUCUCGGUUCAUCGAGCUUUUUAAGUCUCAGGUAUGGAUAUUUUAAUGCAUUGGUUUAUCUAUAUUCCCGGUGAAUUUGAUUCUGCUAGUUUCUAUUGUUUAUCUUCAU